rnacentral:rRNA from 1 species
GACGAACGCUGGCGGCGUGCCUAAUACAUGCAAGUAGAACGCUGAAGGAGGAGCUUGCUUCUCUGGAUGAGUUGCGAACGGGUGAGUAACGCGUAGGUAACCUGCCUGGUAGCGGGGGAUAACUAUUGGAAACGAUAGCUAAUACCGCAUAAGAGUAGAUGUUGCAUGACAUUCGCUUAAAAGGUGCAAUUGCAUCACUACCAGAUGGACCUGCGUUGUAUUAGCUAGUUGGUGGGGUAACGGCUCACCAAGGCGACGAUACAUAGCCGACCUGAGAGGGUGAUCGGCCACACUGGGACUGAGACACGGCCCAGACUCCUACGGGAGGCAGCAGUAGGGAAUCUUCGGCAAUGGACGGAAGUCUGACCGAGCAACGCCGCGGGAGUGAAGAAGGGUGUCGGAUCGUAAAGCUCGGUUGUAAGAGAAGAACGAGUGUGAGAGUGGAAAGUUCACACUGUGACGGUAUCUUACCAGAAAGGGACGGCUAACUACGUG